UGGGGAAUAUUGCACAAUGGGCGCAAGCCUGAUGCAGCCAUGCCGCGUGUGUGAAGAAGGCCUUCGGGUUGUAAAGCACUUUCAGCGAGGAGGAAGGUGGUGAACUUAAUACGUUCAUCAAUUGACGUUACUCGCAGAAGAAGCACCGGCUAACUCCGUGCCAGCAGCCGCGGUAAUACGGAGGGUGCAAGCGUUAAUCGGAAUUACUGGGCGUAAAGCGCACGCAGGCGGUUUGUUAAGUCAGAUGUGAAAUCCCCGGGCUCAACCUGGGAACUGCAUUUGAAACUGGCAAGCUAGAGUCUCGUAGAGGGGGGCUAGAAUUCCAGGUGUAGCGGUGAAAUGCGUAGAGAUCUGGAGGAAUACCGGUGGCGAAGGCGGCCCCCCUGGACGAAGACUGACGCUCAGGUGCGAAAGCGUGGGGCAGCAAACAGGAUUAGAUACCCUGGUAGUCCACGCUGUAAACGAUGUCGAUUUGGAGGUUGUGCCCUUGAGGCGUGGCUUCCGGAGCUAACGCGUUAAAUCGACCGCCUGGGGAGUACGGCCGCAAGGUUAAAACUU
rnacentral:rRNA from 1 species